CCCGCUGAACUUAAGCAUAUUAAUAAGCGGGGAAAAAGAAACUAACAAGGAUUCCCCUAGUAACGGCGAGUCAAGCGGGAAGAGCUCAAGCUUAAAAUCUCCGUGCAAGUUUUGCGCGGCGAAUUGUAGUCUAUAGAGGCGUGAUCAGUGUGGGCGCUUGGGGCAAGUUCCUUGGAAAAGGACAGCAUGGAGGAUAAUACUCCCGUUCAUCCCUGAGUUGCUCGUGCGUACGAUCCGUUUUCUUUGAGUCGCGUUGUUUGGGAAUGCAGCGCAAAGUAGGUGGUAAAUUCCAUCUAAAGCUAAAUAUUGGUGCGAGAUCGAUAGCGAACCAGUACCGUGAGGGAAAGAUGAAAAGAACUUUGAAAAGAGAGUUAAAGAGUACCUGAAACUGCUGAAAGGGAACCGAAUCGUUUCCAGUGUCUAUAAUCCGUGGUAUAUUUCAUUGGCGAGUGUGUGCAUGCGUGUACUGUGGCAGCGGCUUUUUUUGGCUGCGCUCGGCGUGUGUGCUGUGUAUGCUUGCUGGUGCCCUGUGCUACGGUGGGACGUCAAGGUCAGCUCGUAUGCUGCGGGAAAUGGCCGCCGAGGAGGUAGGGCUUACGCUUGCGUUUGUCUGUUAUAUCUUGGUGGACGAGUAGUCGCGGUUGGGACUGAGGUGCCUACAACGUGUUUUUAAGUGGCCCUGUGUCUCUGUGUGCGCCGUGUGCGGAUAGCUUGCUAUGCGUGUGUGGUUGUGUGUGGAUUGAUGUGGGUUUUAACUUGUUGCCGUUCGGGACGUUGACGAAAUGGAGCGAUUUGACCCGUCUUGACACACGG
rnacentral:ncRNA from 1 species